rnacentral:rRNA from 1 species
UACGAAGGGGGCUAGCGUUGCUCGGAAUCACUGGGCGUAAAGGGUGCGUAGGCGGGUCUUUAAGUCAGGGGUGAAAUCCUGGAGCCCAACUCCAGAACUGCCUUUGAUACUGAAGAUCUUGAGUUCGGGAGAGGUGAGUGGAACUGCGAGUGUAGAGGUGAAAUUCGUAGAUAUUCGCAAGAACACCAGUGGCGAAGGCGGCUCACUGGCCCGAUACUGACGCUGAUGCACGAAAGCGUGGGGAGCAAACAGG